AGAGUUUGAUCAUGGCUCAGAUUGAACGCUGGCGGAAUGCUUUACACAUGCAAGUCGAACGGUAGAGGGGGCAACCCCUCGAGAGUGGCGAACGGGUGAGUAAUAUAUCGGAACGUGCCCAGUCGUGGGGGAUAACGUAGCGAAAGUUACGCUAAUACCGCAUACGAUCUAAGGAUGAAAGCGGGGGAUCGCAAGACCUCGCGCGAUUGGAGCGGCCGAUAUCAGAUUAGGUAGUUGGUGAGGUAAAGGCUCACCAAGCCAACGAUCUGUAGCUGGUCUGAGAGGACGACCAGCCACACUGGAACUGAGACACGGUCCAGACUCCUACGGGAGGCAGCAGUGGGGAAUUUUGGACAAUGGACGCAAGUCUGAUCCAGCCAUUCCGCGUGCAGGAUGAAGGCCCUCGGGUUGUAAACUGCUUUUGUACGGAACGAAAAGGUCUCUCUUAAUACGGGGGGCUCAUGACGGUACCGUAAGAAUAAGCACCGGCUAACUACGUGCCAGCAGCCGCGGUAAUACGUAGGGUGCAAGCGUUAAUCGGAAUUACUGGGCGUAAAGCGUGCGCAGGCGGUUAUAUAAGACAGAUGUGAAAUCCCCGGGCUCAACCUGGGAACUGCAUUUGUGACUGUAUAGCUAGAGUACGGUAGAGGGGGAUGGAAUUCCGCGUGUAGCAGUGAAAUGCGUAGAUAUGCGGAGGAACACCGAUGGCGAAGGCAAUCCCCUGGACCUGUACUGACGCUCAUGCACGAAAGCGUGGGGAGCAAACAGGAUUAGAUACCCUGGUAGUCCACGCCCUAAACGAUGUCAACUGGUUGUUGGGUCUUCAC
rnacentral:rRNA from 1 species